GAGGGUAUAGCUCAAUUGGUAGAGCUCAUGCUUAGCAUGCACAAGGUUCUGGGUUCAAUCCACAGUACCUCCA
rnacentral:tRNA from 1 species